rnacentral:rRNA from 1 species
UACGUAGGGGGCAAGCGUUGUCCGGAAUCAUUGGGCGUAAAGAGCGCGUAGGCGGCCCAGUAAGUCCGCUCUGAAAGUCAGGGGCUCAACCCCUGGAUGCGGGUGGAUACUGCUGGGCUAGAGUCCGGAAGAGGCGAGUGGAAUUCCUGGUGUAGCGGUGAAAUGCGCAGAUAUCAGGAGGAACACCAAUGGCGAAGGCAGCUCGCUGGGACGGUACUGACGCUGAGACGCGAAAGCGUGGGGAGCAAACAGG